AGAACUAGGGUUCAUCAAAAGGCACAGAAGAGAGAGAGAGAGAGAGAGAGAGAGUGAGUGAGUGAGUGAGUGAGUGACCAUAACCCUUGCUCCACCAUUAUUGCUCUUUCUGUAGUGAGAAACAAAGGCAAAAGCAAAAUCAAAAGCCCCAUCACUAUUUCGAACCAUCGAAUUGUUUUCCUCUAAAUCCCUCAAGUGCGUCCAUCAAUCGCUUACUCUGCAGUUUUUCCAGUCGACAAGACGACCCAAUCGACAUGGCGAAGUACCGAGAAGCUUUCGCAAAGAGGAUGGCCACGGCUGGUCUCAACCCUCAUCACCGUAUCGGUGAAUUAGAUUCUGGACUGUUAAAUUCACCAAUCGUUGGGCUGAUGUUGAUGAACAGGGCUACAGCUACGGUUUCUCUGCUGUUGUAUCUAUGCUAUCUAGGCUGUCUCUGCACCGUGCUGCCUCUGUGUUUGUUGAAUUGGCCUUUUGUGGCUUGUUUCUGUCAUUUGCUGGUUGCAGUUUUCUUUUUGUUGUUGGUUAUUUUGUGCAAGACCCCUAUCUUCUACUGGACAUGGUUCUUGAACAAUAUUUUGUUCGGUUUGCUGUGUGGUGCCUAUGCUCAAUGAAGAUGGUUGAAUGGAGGUUUUUUUAGUUAGUUUGUUAAAUUUUUUUUCCCCUUGUUUUAAAUGUUUUUUUUGUUGGCUGUUGUUGUGUGGCUUUGCUUCAGUGGUUUCGUUACAUGUGGCUUCUUAGCUGUUGUGUUGUGUUGUGUUGUGUUGUGUUGUGUGGGUAGGGCCUGGGCCAUGCCCCUUGUAAACUUGUAAAUUCUUCUAUUCUAUUUUAUGUCUUAUUCACCCAAAAAUAAAAUAUUUCACCAGUCGAAGCCAAUUAGUUGUUCGCAUUUAGGCAAUACCAGUGAGAUUUUACUUCAUUAUUUCCAAAUGACCUAAAUCUGAGCAAAUAGCAAAACGAGGAAUCAGUAAAAAUUGAGUAUUUCCGUAACUACUCCAUUUGGUAAUUGGGAAACAGAGGAUAGUCUAUAAAAACCAAAUCUUGAAUCUUUUUUUUCUUCUAUAUUUUCAUAAAUAAUUUUUAGCUUUCACUGUGAAUAUUUCUUCUCCUCCUAAGUGGUAGCAACUUGCAAGGAAGUUCUAUUAUAUUGAACAAUUCUUGACCAAGAUGAAAUCAUUUUUUAAGAUUCUAACUGCUCUAAAAUUUUCUUGUUAGGUGAAUAUGAGCAUUGCAAUACUUCCAAUGUCACAGGAGUUUAACUGGAACAGUGCAAUAGUUGGUCUCAUCCACUCUUCUUUUUUUGGGGCUAUCUCCUCACUCAGAUUGUUGGAGGUAUCUGGGUAAAUAAAAUUGGUGGGAAACUAGUAUUGGGUUUUGGAGUGAUCUGGUGGUCAGCUACAACAGUUUUGACACCUAUUGCUGCUAGAGUUGGGCUUCUUCUUGCUUGUCAUGCGUGCCUUUAUGGGGAUUGGUGAGCUGCUGAUGUAUCUGAUGUUGAUUGCAUAUUGAACUGUGAUAGUGAAUCAGUCUCCAUCAGUGCUAACAAUCUCGAAGCAUAUUUACACCUACCAAUUGUGAACUCAAAAUUGGGCAAGUUUUCUUUGUUAAGAAAUUUCCUUUCUGCGUUUAAUUUUGCAAAGAUAAACCUAAGAAGAGAGAGGAAACUUCUAGUUUGCUGCAAUAAUGGUAAGUGUAAUGUUCAUUUGCUCUGUCUUUCCCUGUAGAGUUAUACCAAGAGACAUUAGGAUCUGGCAUGGGAAUGACAUUGAUCCAUGUAGCAGUUGGACUUUUGUUAUUUUGUUUUGCAUAGCAUAUAAAAUGUUUGCUUUCUAUAAUAUGUAACAUUAUUUUAGGAUCUCCGUUCUUUGCAAUUAAAUAAAAAUUUCAGCGCAAAUUGCAACAUGGGAGGUUCUUCAGCAAUAUGACUAACUAGGAUAUUGAAGCAAUAGAGGCAAUUAUAGCAGAUCAGAAAGUCCAAUAUUCCAAUAUCAUCCAAGUGUCUUUAAUAACGAAUUAGCUAAAAGGAAUCAAUCAGAGAAGCAAUACUUUGAAAAGUAUUCAAAAAGUGUGGAGGUUGAGAAUUUGAUAUGAUUUCAAAGAUGUUCAAAUCAACAAGAAUGAAAGUUCAGAAUCUGCAGAAAUACAUAGCACAUGAAACUAAAUAAUAAAUUAGAUAACAGUAGACAGCAACAUGUCAUGUGGAUUGUAUUUUAUAUGCAUGACCGAAGACCAUGAAGUUUAAAACCAAUAUGUCAGCCAUUUGAAAACUUUAUGUAUGUCCUAAAACAAUGCUAUGCUGUGGCAGAUCAAAAUAUUGAUGACAAAAUAAAGAAAGUUUAUGGCUAUUGUACAAGACUUAAUGGAGUGGUAAUGUCAAAAAGAUGUUCAAUAUGAAUUCGAUAUAGGUACUGGUGGAGCAUCAGUGGCUCAAUCUAACACAACUAAGAACCCAGAUAUCUAGAAAAACGUGAUCAUUUGUUUCCCAAAUUUCCCUUGAGUUAUCAAUUUAAAAAUGCAAAGAAAAAAUUAAUUUAUUCAACACGCUAAACCCCAAAGAAAGCUUGCCACUCAACUAAAAAAAGUGCAGCAUUACCAAAUCAGGUUAAUCUGUUUGAUGAGCCUCUUAUGCUUACAAGACAUCUAUAAAAUCAUUUUUUUCUAAAAAGUCCAUUGGUCCAGUAUGAUUCAAGGUUGACAAAAGUCAGCAUUAAUCUGUUUAUAUAUAAAUAUAUAUAUAUAUAUAUAUCAUCUGACUGUCCUGUUGACAAUCAGAAUUGAAAGAGAUUGGCAAUUUACAAUUCAUCUCUUUAUGUAAAAUUUCUAUCUAUAGGACGCAUCCCAUCAUUUGCUUUGAAAAAUGAAAGAAUCCUGCCCAAUACAGAGUUCAACUUGAGUUUGAUGAGAAGAUAUAAAGUAAAUUUAUUUUGAGCUAGAUGGGGACAUAAACCUUGCUUCCGCUAGGUAUUUAGGGACAUUGGACAUGCUUUCCAUGCUGCCAGCUACAACAUCAUUGAUGCCCAACUGGAUACUCUGCGUUGCAAGCAUAGUUGUUGCAAUGACCCAAAAAAAAUACUGAUAUUACAGUCCAAUAUUGCUUUAGUAGAAAAGAAUACUGCCCAUCACUAUCUUCUUACAAUUUUAUGUUAUCACUUAUUUUGAAUUUGUUAUGUAUAUUGUGCCUCGAGUGAUUGCAUUAUGUUGUGUGUUUCUGGGGAAGGUAUUAGUAUAUGUGCUUCUUUGGCAAUCUUGACAUCAUUAUUCACUGAUGAAGGUACACUUUUAAGAAAUAAUUUGUAUUUCAAGCCCUAACUUUCUAUGAGAUAUUACGAAGACCCUUCAUAGAAUUAAACAUCAUACAUAGAGAUCCUUUAACAUAAUUAUGCAAGUCCCAAGUAGUUGCUACAUUGAAGUAGACUAAUUCUACCUCUUUUUAAAUUUAAUUUUUCUCGAGUUUCUUAUGACCUCAAUUUAAUGGCAAAUUAUAUUUUCCUGUACGAACUUAAUGGUUUAUUUGAAGAAUCCUACUCAUUUCCCUCUAGAAACAUUACAACAAAAGAGGUAACUUUAUUUGAGGUAUGAAAAAAAAAAAAGGUUUGCUUUAUGUGGAUUUUAUUUGCAUAUACAUUGAGACUAUUGAGAUCUUGAAUUUUUGCUAAUUUCUCAUUAUGAUAUUACUUUUAUGGGGUCAUUGAAUUAUCUUAUUAAUUUUAAAAAUAUUUUGGUGAUGUUUUAAAAUUUCUUAAUCAUUUCUUAAUACUUCAAGAAAUAUUUUUUGUCUCUGAGUCGUUGGUUUUUGUAUUUAUGUGAAGUUUCCUUUAUCAUGCAGACAAGAAAUGCAACAGGGCUAGUUGCUCCAGCUAUUGCCGCGGGUUUAGAUGCCUUAACACAUACAUUGGGCACCCUCGUCCCUGUGAAGUAGAUUUGCUACAAUUGCAACUACAACUACUAUAGGAACUGUUGUCGGUAGUUUUAGAUAAUCUUUUAAUAGUUGUCGAUAUGUUUAGAAAGUUAGAUAUGCAUAGUUUUGGAUGGUUGAAACUUUUUGUACAAUUUAGAACUUAGGGAUAUAGUUUUCGACUAUUUGGGAUGUGUCGAUAAUUGUUGAAUGUUUAUGAUUUAUGGAUAUAGUUUCUUUUUGAUGUUUCAAACAAUAUUUUGGUGGUUGAU